rnacentral:lncRNA from 10 species
AUCUUAUUUAUCUCAAUAUUCCCAGAGCCUGGGCUGGGCACAGUGGCUCAUGCCUGUAACCCUAGCACUUUGGGUGGCCAAGGCGGGCAGAUCACUUGAGGUCAGGAGUUCGAGACCAGCCUGGCCAACAUGGUGAAACCCCAUCUCUAUUAAAAAUACAAAAAUUAGCUGGGCAUGGUGGCAUGUGCCGCCUGUAGUCCCAGC